rnacentral:rRNA from 1 species
AUAAUGGGUCAGCGACUUAUAUUCUGUAGCAAGGUUAACCGAAUAGGGGAGCCGAAGGGAAACCGAGUCUUAACUGGGCGUUAAGUUGCAGGGUAUAGACCCGAAACCCGGUGAUCUAGCCAUGGGCAGGUUGAAGGUUGGGUAACACUAACUGGAGGACCGAACCGACUAAUGUUGAAAAAUUAGCGGAUGACUUGUGGCUGGGGGUGAAAGGCCAAUCAAACCGGGAGAUAGCUGGUUCUCCCCGAAAGCUAUUUAGGUAGCGCCUCGUGAAUUCAUCUCCGGGGGUAGAGCACUGUUUCGGCAAGGGGGUCAUCCCGACUUACCAACCCGAUGCAAACUGCGAAUACCGGAGAAUGUUAUCACGGGAGACACACGGCGGGUGCUAACGUCCGUCGUGAAGAGGGAAACAACCCAGACCGCCAGCUAAGGUCCCAAAGUCAUGGUUAAGUGGGAAACGAUGUGGGAAGGCCCAGACAGCCAGGAUGUUGGCUUAGAAGCAGCCAUCAUUUAAAGA